ACCCCAACUUCUGAAU
rnacentral:rRNA from 1 species